UAAAAAAAAAAAUUACAACUGUUUUUGAUGAUAUGUUUGUUUGAGGUAAGAGGAAAACAGAAAGUUUGCCCGACUCGAAGAACACGACGAUGAUGAAGAGGAACAUAACUCUCCACCACAUCAGAGAAAGUACACGUCACUCCCUAGGUGAGUUAGUUACCACAUUAGAAGAAUUUAUUUCCUUUCAAUUCUAUUAAAAAUUCUAUUCAAUUCUAAUAAAAUUAUGCAAAAUAUCAUCGUUAGAAUUAGAAGGAAAGAUUUGGAAAUCUUUUACAAUACAUAAAAAUCUAGAUAUAUGUCAUUAAUUCUUUUCUAAUAAAUUCUUUAACAUUACCGUGUUCAAUACCCCUCCUAAAUCAAGAUACAUAUUGUAUACUCCCACUGUUUCACAAAAGUAUCAUUUUAAAGAAAUUUUUUUUACACAAAGAGUGUCAUUCUACAUUUACAAUGCAUCUUUUACAUUAGAUUUCCAUAUUUUACCCUUACUCUACAAUUAUUAACCAUUUAUUAAAUAGGGGAUAUACGUAUAUUUUUUUUUUUUUAAUUUGUGUGAAAUGUAUCAAAAUGAUACUCUUUGUGAAAUAGAAGGAGUAUGAUUUUUAUUUUUAUAUUGAAUGAGAUAAACAUCUACCAGUCUCUCUUGUUGGAUCUUUUACUCUAUUUUAGCUAACUAAGAUCUCUAUUUCAGAUCUGAAAUUUCUACUCCCAAAGUUCACAUUUAUUGGAAAAACUUUUUUUGGCGAAUAAUUUUUACACUAUACAAAAAAUAUAUAUAAUAAAGAGAAACUUGAAAUCGAUAAAUUUUAGACAAGUAUAAGUCUUGUUAAUAUGAUUUUCCCAUUUAAAAAAUAUAUAUAUUUUGACAUUCAAUCAGCUUUAUCAGUCAAAAAUGUAAUGUUAGUUACAUUUUAAACGUUCAUGAUAUGUUUUACAUGAUCCAAACUAAUCAAUAUUGAUCCCAAAAAUAAUUGCCAUAAAAUUGACUUGUAAUUUUUGGGUUAAUGUUAUUCUUGAAACUAAAAACUAAGUUUUGUAAAGUUUAUCCGUUCAUAAUCUUUUAUUAAUGGAGAUUAUAUAGGUUUCAUACUAUAUAAUUAAGAAAAUAUAAUUUUUGAGAAAUGCCCCUUUUGGUUUACCCUUUUUUAAAAUACCCCUAUUUUCUAUCCAUUUUCAAAAAUACCCCUUUUGAAAUAUGAAAUAUUAUAAACUUUUAUAUGGUUGAUAAGGUACAUCAAGAUCAUCAUUACUAUUGGAAGACUAAAUCCAAAUAUUUAUAAGGUUUUAAAAGGUUCUAAACGGCAUUUAUAAGGUUUUUAAAAGGUUUACACAGUUUUUAUAAGGUUUUUAAAUGAUUUUUAAAAGGUUUUUAAAAGGUAUUUAUACAGUAUUUAUUAAAUAUAUAUAUAAAUUUACACACAUAUAAAGAUAAAUUGUGUCUAUAAAUAUAAGUUUACACAUAUGUUUUUGAUAAAUUUCAAAUGUUAUAGUGAUUUUUUGAUAAAAUUAGAAAGAGGGGUAUUUUUAAAAAGUGGUAUUAGAAAAGGGGUAUUUUUGAAAUUCCCCCGUAAGAAAAUUAUAUUAUAUCACUUUAUAUAUUUCUUAUGUACUUAAUUAUUUUUUGCUCACUCGAAAGAGAAAACAAUAAAAUGCUUUUAAAAAUAUUUUAUAAUGUUCUUAUUAUAUUAGUAUGAAAAUACCCUAAUAUACCAUUAUCCCGGAAUGCUGAAUAUCUCAAUAUUAGUUAAGCUAAAAAAAAUAAUACUAAGGUAAUAUAUAUAUACAAGUAUCAAUACUGGUCAAGUAAUGAUAUUUAGAGAUUUUAUACUUUGUAAGUCAUAUUUACCUUCUCAACAUAUACUGGUCAAAUAAUACUUACUUUUUGAAUCCAUACUAGUCAAGUAAUAUUUACAACCAUAUAUAAGGAUUGCAAUAAACUAAAAGUUGACCAGAAAAAAAACACAUGAAAUAUAUUUUGUGUUCUUAUAUCAUAUAUAAUCAGUCUAGGGGAAGAACAAUUCAUUAAAAACAAAGUUGAGAGAAUUAUCACUACAAUAAAAGUUAUCACUAUGAAAAGUUUAGUGGUAUUUUGUUUUACUAUACUCCUCAUCACAUCUUCUGUUCAUUGUUCUGAUACAGCUAAUGAAAAUCCGGGUAAUUUUUUUAUUGUUAUUCAUACCUUCUUUUUGCAAUUAUCAUCAUGAUGAUUUUAAUUAGUCUUUGUUAAUAUGUAUUAAUUAUUGUUAAUAUUGUAUAUAGGUUAUGAACCUAACCGAAUUGGGAUUCCAAAAGCUGUAAAGUUCGGGCGACGCUUGUGUAGGAACCCGGAAAACUGCAAUGCUUAUUGUAUAAGCCUACGUUUUGAUCAUGGUUUCUGUGUUAGCGGAAGAUUUUG
rnacentral:lncRNA from 1 species